rnacentral:sRNA from 1 species
UAUUUAUCUUCUACUACCCAUAA